AUAUAUUCCAGACUUUUAAAGGGCCCUCUCUUCAUUUGGGGCCCUGGUAAUCAGUACUGGUUUUACCCCCAGUCCAACGCCCCUGGAUGAUGGUAUCCAUUCCAAAAUCCUUUGGAAGUCAAUGGCUACUGUCAACUGCAUGUUUGCCAGCAUUCUCCAAAAUAUCUUCAUUUGUGUUCAGCAGAAGAAAUAAACUAAAAUGACAGAAUUUAAGUUUUAUGGUGAACUAUCCCUUUAAACCUGUAAGACUGACCGAGUUAUUACCUCACCAAACAUAAUGUCACUUAAUCGUCAGGUAGUUUUGGACUUGCUGUCUUUAGGAGACACCAUGUUUACAUCAAUCUGUCAACUAUCAGACCGUACAGGUAACAGGGUGAAAGUAUGAUACGAUAGACCAAUGGUUAGACUUUGGAUUUAUGGCAUUAGGUGUACAAGUCUGUAUAUGUGUGCAAUCGCACUGAAUGUGCGAGACAAAUCUGAGGGAUAACGAUCGAUGUGACCUUAAAAGCUUUUAACCUGCUCUGUGCCCCUCAGUCACAGCUGUGAAGGUUUGCAUAGCAACAACCGCGCCGCUCAACAUUAAGGGGGGAUCUAUAUCUGACCAACUUCUUUCAAAAACGAAAAUGUAUCUUUUCUUGAGUUCAUAUGUUUUCUCGCUCUCAUAUCAAAGACACGUUAAAACAACCGUUUUGUAAGACGCUUGUUUGUUACUUGUAAUUCGUAACUUCGAUUUAAACUGUUGUUGUUUUUGACGUGCGCUAGUGUUGAAAUCUGCACAGCAACAAGCGCCAUGAUUGCGUUUUUUGAGUGCCCUGGUUACUGGCGCGCGCGGUUUCUAUCCAAUAAAAGAGCGCGUGAGAUUGUGUUCACAGUUAUGCGGAGGAACUGUUUAACCCAACAUCUCUGCUUUUCAUAGGAUUAUUGCGUUGUUGUAAAAAAUAUUUAUUUUGACUGACAUCACCUUGUCCUUUGGGGUGACUAGUAAGCAGAUGUCGAGGUAAAUGGACAAAAGGAAGAGAUGGGUGGACUUUUCUGGAGAAGUACACAGUGCUCAAAAUCUUUGUGCAUACUUUUAACUCUCUGGUCAGUUGGGGUAAUUUGGUACCUAUUCUGAGAAAAACAUAUUUCCCACUGUGUUACACGACCUGCCUGUCUCUCACUGAUCAAAUCACUAUUACCAGGUGACCCAACAGUGACAAUAAACUUUUGGUGUAACAAGCAAGAGGACAGGGAAGCAUCUGCUGUCUAUAAGGGUAAAAUUACAGGUUAUGAAAAGAAGCCCAUGGACCUCUGGGAGAAAAAAACGUGUUCCCUGACAAAAGCCUGAAAUCUCCAACAUUAUAACAUUUACUUAUGUUGUCUGUAUGAUUUUCCCAUUCUUGUUGUUUUGUAUUUUUUUAGGCACUUAAAAAAUUCUUUAUACUUCAUGGUAUUUUUCAAUUAAAAAUAAUAAUUCAACUGAACCAUGCUUCUUAUAAGCUAUAUAGUUAAAAUGGUUCACUUACACAUGGUUACACUUAGUGGUGUACUUCCAGUUCUUUGACUGUGUCACAGCUCAGUGUCAUGCCGUGUGUUCUACAUUCCUUUCCUGGAGAAAACAAAAUUAAAGGAAAAUUUAUAAAGCAAAAAUUCUGGCUUUUAUGUUCCUUAACAAAAUGACAAGUAAAUACAAAGUAUAAUAUCAACAUAACAUGCAGUGUGUUUUUUUUAACCUUAAGUUUUCUUGCACGUGUACAUUAUUUGAAAUAUUGAAAUGAAUGCUGUAUAAUCUUCUAGUAAAUAAAUCCUAGUGUUAUUGUU